rnacentral:misc_RNA from 1 species
GGCUGAGCGUUGCCGUGCCCGCGCCCAGCGUCGCUGAGGCCGCCGCCCUAUCACCUGCGCGCCGCCAUUUUCAUCCAUCCUCUUGGCAGUAGAGGUUGAUUUCUACCUAAGCGAGGCGUAUGGCUUGGACCAGCGCUCCUACAGUAGUGUUCACUUCGUGUGUGUUUUCUGCGUCGCCAUGCCUGUGGGUGCUGCAGCGCUAUGCGAGUAUUAUGGCUACCUGCCGAGGCUCGUCCGCCAUACGGGGCUGCUUCCAUCGACACGCACCUCCGUGACUUCAUCGAUGGCCCCGACAGUGUUGCACUCGUCACUCUACGAGGUGGACCCUUCUCCUCCCGUGCGGAGCGGCGAGGUUGAGCUCCCGUCCACCUACUCACUGCACAAACCGUUGGUGUAUGACAUCGCUGAGCUGCCACCCAAGCCGGUCUCAUCCUUGCGUCUAGUCAUUAUCAGCGACACCCACGAGCGGCAUCGAGAGAUGAGUGUUCCAAACGGCGACGUGCUGGUGCACUGCGGCGACAUCCAGGAAGGCUUGAACUUUGUGCGGGACGUCAAAGCGAUGCUGACCGAUUUUUCUGCCUGGUUCACGGAUAGCGCGUUGCACCCGCACCCGGUGAAGUUGAUCAUUGCGGGCAAUCAUGACAAGGCCAUUGCUGCAAUGUCUACAGAAGAUGUUCGCCGACUCUUUGAACCUGCUGUGUAUUUGUGCGAGGACAGUGUGGUGGUGGAGCCUGUCGGUGUGCGCUUCUACGGUUCACCACGCUCCAUCUCCAACUCUCGCUGGAGCCCCAAUACAGCAUUUCAGGACAAAAAGGCGUGGAAGCCUUUCAUGUUCGCCUCGGCGCGGCAAGAUGAUGGGCCAGGAGCCGUGUCCACUGCUUCUCGAUGCUCAUCGGAGCAGCCUCUUCGCGCGCGGUUCGAAGGUGCCACACCAGGUGGUUCUGUCGAUGUCUUGGUAGUUCACCAAAGUCCAGACAUUCCCAGAGCUCACCACAGCGUUGAGGAGCAGCCAAUUUGCACGUAUACUCAACAGGUGGCGCCGCGCCGCGUGCUUCUUUGUGGACAUCUUCACGGUGCACAUGGCAUGCAUCGGCUGCCAGUGCCUGAACUUGUCAGGAAGUCAUUUCGCGUGGCGACACGAGGUGGAGGCGGCCAGCCGGAGGGGGUGGCGAGGCUGGAUGAAAUCCCGUUCCUUCCGUGCAUUAACGCCGCCAUGAUGGUUGGCCGCUUUGGCCAGAAUGUGCUGCUCCCUCCGAGUGUCGUGGACCUGGAGCUGUGAAGACGUUGCAUGGGAGGGAGUCAGGCGAAACGGAGAUCCAUGGAGGCUACAGUGUGUGCACACUGCUGGGCCGGAUCUUUGCCGCGCCACCGGGUCUGUAAGGCAUACAGCUGCUCUGUAGCUUUUUUUGUUCGUUGCUCUAUCGUUUUCCUUCUCUCUUCGGAUCUCUUUGUUGGCUCUGAUGCGACGGGUGCGUCUCAGCAUCCGUUUUCCAUGUUCUCUGCACGUAUCACUUUCCCAGUGCUGACUCUAGGCACACUUCUUGAGCCACUGUC